rnacentral:rRNA from 1 species
GGGUUAGUAACACGUGGAUAACCUACCUAUAGGACUGGGAUAACUUCGGGAAACCGGAGCUAAUACCGGAUAAUAUAUUGAACCGCAUGGUUCAAUAGUGAAAGACGGUUUUGCUGUCACUUAUAGAUGGAUCCGCGCCGCAUUAGCUAGUUGGUAAGGUAACGGCUUACCAAGGCAACGAUGCGUAGCCGACCUGAGAGGGUGAUCGGCCACACUGGAACUGAGACACGGUCCAG